GGGAGGGCGCCCUCCUCCCGCCGGUUGGGAGCGUGGAGGGAAGGGAGGCGGACGGGCAAAAGCGCUUUGGAGACUCUGGAAAGUAGUGCUUUCUAACGGCAGGAUUUCAAAGUGGUAGCAGGAUUCUAGAUAGAAAAGUCAAGGAAAGCAUCUUUGAAGAGACAUCAUUUGUGAAACAUCCAAAUGAAGAGAGUGAACCUUUGAAUAUUUACGGGAAGAGUUUUCAGUCUGCAGAGUAAGGAGGUGCAAAGGCCCUGAGGGCAGACUGGCAGGCUGGAGACCCAGGCGGGAGCCGAGACUGCAGCUCAAGUCUGAAGGCAAAUUCCCUCUUGCUCAGGGUGCCAGGCUCUUUCUAGAUGCUGAGGAUACAGCAGUGAACAAACAGACAAAAAUCACUGUUUUCAAGAAAUUUACAUUUUGGGAAGUGAGGAGAGACAAACAUUUAAAGAAAAUCAAUAAAUGAAAUACAGAUCGUAGACCAGAUGGAGAAGUGCCAUGGCGAAAAAUAAAGACGUACAUGGCCCAGUGGCUAUUCAAAGGAAGUGACCUCCGCAGUGUGCCUUUCAAGCCACACAGGAUGGAUCCUUGUGCGACAUUCAGCCGUCGCUCUGGUUUACACCAAAUUCAACAACUUGUGGCCUGCAGAUACUCAGUAGAAAUAGCUGGAAAAGCCUGACCUUGACAACCUCAUUUCUCAUUCCUUUCUUGUUACAGGUCACACAGAACACCACGAACCCACCCCCAUGGUUCUGGAAUGAUUGGAAUUCACAGCAUUGCCUACCUCAAAAAUAAUGAAAGGUUCUGCAGAGACCCACUGACGGCUUAUGUUUACGCCACUUGUUUUCGCAAGGGAGCUUAAGGUCUUCCUUCUGUGAAGCGAAGAGAGGAGUGUUGACGGUGCCUGUUUUUCUGUAAUGCACCUACUUGGCAAAUAACACCCAAGUGGAAAAGCCACAGAGGCCCCGGGUCCUGGAGGAGGCGAGGGAGAAAACUGAGCAGCUUGCGCAUGGCCUUGACUUCUUGAUUGGAGCAGCUGAAGGCAGCGCGCCCGGAGGCUUGCGAGGUUCCCAGGGGAGCGGAAGAGGCGCGUCUCCAGUGCAGUGCUGGGCAACGCCAGCAGAGGAGGAGGAUGGCGGCUACGGGGCGUGGGGCUGGGGGA
rnacentral:lncRNA from 1 species